CAAGCAAGCCUAAGUGGAUUUGUUGGGCACUUGGUAUCCCAACAGAUACCUUGAAACCUUCAUUAGCACAUUUGUUAUCAAAUUCCUGUCCCCAUUCCAUGGAAUACUUGGCACUUAAUCAAAGACACCUCAAUUCUUCAAGAGCUUUAGAGUUUAUCUCAAAAUUUCUUUCGAAGUUCAGACCCAAAAAA